UAACUCCACAAUCUUUGCUUAAUUGAAGUGAAUCGGUUUGUAAAAGUGCAGAAAAAAAAAGAAAAAAAAACAGAAUGGAUUUGAAUCAUAAACAUUCAAACAUUAAAGGGAGAGGAAAGAGAAAGAGUUAAACAGAGGAGAGAGGAGAAAAAUGAGCUUCAGAUGAUGCCUGGAGCCCCCUCAGGGAGGAUGUGAUGUCAUCAGUAUGCGCCUGCCUCCUGUCAGAUUGGUGACAGGGGUCGUCCUUUAUGAGGAGUGGGAGAACGACAGCGUCUGGUUUUUCUCUCUGCGAUAUCUGGCCGUUUCACGCUUUCUGAAGCUGGGACGCCGCCAAACCUCCGUGUCCUCGGUUUCCUCUUCCACUCGCAGGAAUACGCAGAUGUGAGCUUCAACCGCUCUUUCAACAAAACAGAAUUUCUUCUCUCAGAAUUUCUCCGAAUCCCCGAAUGAACGUGAGCUGAAACGUGGCAGAAAUGCGGAAAGCCUUGAACUCGGAGUGUUCUGUCCUUCCCAGAGAGAGGUGAUAAAGAGUUGUUAUCCAAGAAAUCUAUCUCGAUUAGCGUGAUUAGCGCUGGCGUUUUUAUACACAGAUUGGGUUUAAUCUCGUGUAGCCCACGCGGCCGCUCGGGCCUGGCUCCGGUUAAGAAGAAAGCGGUGACGUCCUCGUACCAAACGCCGGGGAGUACGAGAUGCCAGGCAGAUCGAUUGGCUGGCAAACUUGGCACGAUGGCUAAAGGACAUGCCUUCCACGGUGAAAAGGCGUCCAGAAGGAUGAAGAAUGCAGUGUUAGGAAAGCAGCACAGCUCAUAACCACCUACAUGUUUUCCACGUACAAAGACUCCGAGGCCUGUUUGUUUUAAAACGUCUCCAUUUUUCCUUUACAGGCUUUUUAAAGAAUGUUUUAUUAUUUAUGAUUCUCAAUCCUCCGAGCAGUUUAUUAGAUGAUAAGAAGCUUUUAAACGUCGUUUUCUUCUUGAUGUCACACACCAGAUCGCUUUUUUAUCGUUUCCAGACGGAAUAUUUUAUUGUUCUUGUUAUUAUUAUUAUUUAAGACUAUUUGUUAAUCACACGUGCCCACCAGGUCGGCCGUAAAGAGAGAGAACGCCGUGGCAUGAUGAAAUGUGCUCGGCAUUAAAGCGCCGGCUCGUAACGGAUCGCAGCAUUUUUAUUCCCAUCGUUCCCGGUCAGACGCAGCAGCUUCGGCAUCGGAGCGUAUUAAAGUAUUUGCUUGAGCCUUGUUUAAUAACAAAGGCUUUCAUAAACAAUCACGUGUUCACGCAGGAGCUCGCCGGAUCCGUGGUAUGAGAGAUCGCCGGAUCAAAGCGGGUCUUAAAUUGUACAUUAAAGGAAUAUUUUAGCGAAAUAAUGAAGUGUGUGUUUUAAAUGUUAUGCUUUCUCUGUCAUUAGUUACGAAGCUAAUCCCUUUUCACCUCGGCUUCUCACGCCACAUUGUCCACUGCCAGUUCCUCGCUUUAGCCUAACUCUACCUUCACACUAGCGAGCGACAGGCGAUCGUUCUUUUUCUACGUACGUUUCCACGGCACGGAGCUGCGCUUUCAGCAACAAGCAACAUGUGACAUUUGUACUUUGUCUCUUGUGGGCGUGGCCUAUCCAGCUUUUUUUUUUAAUUCAAAAACUAGCUAUAAACAGCUUCUAAAGCUAUUUAGUUAAAAAAAAAUUAAAUAACGCACUAAUCGACGUGAACAUCAGCUGCUUGAUUUCUGUGUUACGAGCUCGGCUUCGUACUAGCUUCGUUCUCAGAUUAGAUUAGCAAAGCGAGCUAAUCGUACUAGCUAAGUAUCUGUGCUAGCUUUAAUUUUAUUCGUAACGUCUCUAUGCACAUUUUUGACAGGAUAAGAUGAAAACACGGUUAUAAGUUUUUCUUCCAUUUUUGCGGAAACGAAUUGCAGGUAGGAACUAAAGUUGUGAGCGGGGAACUGAAGAAACGUGACGCCGGAUCGCUCCGAGGAAUCGUUCGAGACGAUCGUUGGGAUUUGUCUCUUUACACUCGUAACCUGAGUUACCUAGACUUAAGAAAAUCAGUGCAAUUCCAGUGUAGCUUGAUGCUGACAAUGUGACACUGUGUCGCUCUUGUUCAUAGAAAAUCGAAAACGUGAUUGUCUGUCACUUUGUCUCUCUCUCACACACACACACACACACACACACUCCAUGCUCAAACAGAGCAACAGUUGGACCACACUCAGUAACUGAAUACCUACAGGUAGCAGCAGCAAGUGCUAACGUUGUCACGCUGCCUCAAAAUGACAGAGAGGAUGACUAGGUGUGUGAGCUCACACACACCCAAACACACACACACACACACACCCCUGAUACACAAGGUGCUAAAGCUUCAGCGUCUCACCUCAGAUGUGCUCUGACACGCCACCGAGACGCACUAAUGAUAUUACUGACCUGGUGUGAGUGGGUGAAGGUGUUGGUGUAGAAACAACUACACACACACCCACACACACACACACAGACACACACACACACACAGAGAGAGAGAGAGAGAGAGAGAGAGAGAGAAAAGAAUCCAUGUUUCUGAAUGGAUGUGAUCACAUUCUGCAAACAUAACAAGC